UAUGUCGCAGGACGAGCUGGUUUGGAUGUCCAGGACCGAUGUUUGUUUAAAAAGGAGGAUGCCUCCCACAAGGUGAUGCUCCCCUGAAGGAUGUAGCAGCGUGCCACGCUGGGGAGGCAGACAGACAGACAGACGAGCGGGGCUGAGUUCUCUGUCGUCUGCUGUUUAAUGAAAGGAAUGGUACGAGGUGUCAACGUGUUUCAGAGAUACAGUCUGGACUUCUCUGGCACCUGUGUGUCACGUCAUAUGUCUUAGACUCUUGAAUGCCUGCUCAUCUAAAAUCUGGAUGUAUUUUUGGCUAUAUGGAAAGACAAUGCAGCCUGGGGAGCUGGAAAAGUCUGUGCAAAAGUACUUGAAGCACAAUUAGCUGGCAUUUACAAAGCAGUCAGUGAAGAAGCGCCAUUUCUUUUCCUUGGCGCUGAUUGGCUGCACCCAAGAGUGAAGAUCUGAGUGGACUGACGGCCCUGUGGGGGCACCUGGCUCUCCUCCCUGCCAUCACUGGCUAAAUCGAUCGUUGAGGCCAUCUCAGCGAACGGACCAGGGGUCAGCUUCAAAGGCCUCCUGCCCACUUUCUGCCACCUGGUGUUCCAUAUAGGGCGAUGGGUACAUUUUCUUUCCAGCCCCCAUCCUCCCGUUACCCUUCUCCGAACAGGUUAAGGACAUGGAGCCAGUACAGCUCCUCCCUGUGAUCUCCUGCUGCCUCCUCCCAAGCCACCCACAUGCAGAGAGAGGGUGAGAGAUCAGCCCCACACAAAUACAGCAUAAUCACACCACCAUUUGAUGUGAAAAUCUGCUUUUGAUUUAAUUAUAGCACGUAAAUGCAAAUCUGUCUACAAUGAAAAGAUUUGAGAAUUUUUGGCCAGAGUGACAGUUUCCUUUCUGUGGUGCUGGAAGGUGUCAUAUGAUCUUAAAUCUCUUAUCGAGAAUGCUUCCCUUUCCAUGACUGCAUUCAAAUAUUUCCUUAUUUUGGUUAAUAACAAAAUAAUGACUUCAAAAACAAACGUUUUCAUGCCACGCAUUUUAAUCACAUUAUGACAUGGGAGCAUCUUCCUCACAUUUUAACAAAUCAAGUUAAGUAAAGCAAAUGGCCUGUUUACACCAAUCAGUCAUAAGAUUAUAACUAAUGCCAGGUGCAGUGAGUAAUAUGUUGUAAUAACAGAAUGUUUUGCUGCGAAAACCAUCAGCAUUGGUGUUAUUUUGACAUUUACCACAGACGUAAACAGUUUAGAAGAAUAUUCCACCCUCCUAACCCCAUUUCCUCCCCUGUGGGUGCUUUAAAAGCUGCUUACAAAAAUGGCUUAAAGAACAUGACAGCAGAUCUUAGGGGUUUAGUCAGCUUCUAAAAUCCCCAGAUUCUGACCUGAUGGGAUCUAAUUGCAUCUGUAGUAAGAAACUCUGUCCAAAAAGCUCCCAAUGACACAUCAAAGAGGGGUCAAAGAAAUAUUAAAAUCUAUUGUUUUGGAACUAAACAUUUAUGACACCUUCAGAUAUUUUAUAACAGAGCAGAUCCACAGCCUCCUGAAAGUUUUAAAUGUACUUUUUCACACUUCAUCAGGUUGGAGACAUAAACUUGAACUUGUUUGAUUAGGAUUUUGCUAAACCAAAAACAAAGUAGGAAUCAAUUGUGAAAGAUAAAAGAGAGAUAAUUUUCAAAAGGUUUUACAAAUAAAAAUCUGAGGACAGAUUUCUCUUUGUUCUAUUUCCCCUUUAGUCAAGACAAGUGCAACCAGCUUCAGAAAUCACCUAAUUAGUAAAAUCACCUGCGUAUCAUUUAAUCUCAGUUUGCCACAAACUGUGGCAGACUUUAGGAGCAACCCAGUGCCCUGAUUAGGGGAAGUUACAAAUAUAAAAUAAUUUUAUUAUAAUGUAUGCUUUGCAAACAUUGUGCUUAAACAAAAGCAAACAAAAUUCCCAUCUCCGAGGUCCAAAUCAGGUGAGUUGUAUUUCAAGUGUUUGAAAAUUAAGAACUUAUAGUAAUAUUUUUGGCUGCAACAUGCAGUUAUUGGCCAGGUUCAUAUUAAACCCACCAUGCAUCUGUUCAAACCUGCUCAUGUAUAGUGCUACCUGUUAAUGCCGGUCGUUGUAAAUAAGAAUUAGUUCUCAGUAACUCGCAUGGUUAAAUAAAGAGCCAUCAAAAAAAAAAAUUGUGGGUGGGGCACCAGAGGCCCACAUCCUUGUAAAUCCGGCCCUGGCCACAAGCCAUGAAACGUAAGAAAAAUGUGUCAUUGUAAAAACAAAGAGAAAACCUGAAACACUGUUUGGAAAAUAACCCUGAAUACAUAAUCCUCACAGUGAAACAUGGUGGCGACGGCAUCAUGCUGUGGGGACGCUUUCCUUCCACACGGUCAAAGAAAUUGAUUAGGAUUGUAGAAAGAUGGAUGGUUGGGCUGUUUUGCAAAGAAGAAUGAGAAUAAAUGUCAGUUUCUCUCUUUGUGCAGAGCUGGUAGAAAAAUGUCUGGCAGUUGUUUUGGCAGUAAAAAGGAAUUCUGUAAUAUAUCAACUUGGAGAGGCUUAAAAUACACAGCAGACUUUUUAGAUUUUCAUUCUUGUUUUAAAAAAUGACAACCAUGAAAUAUUUCCUUCUAUUUUAAAAUGUUACUUAACUUUUGUGGGUUUUUACCACAUAAAACCAAAUAAAAUGCACCAAAGUUUGUGGCUGAAACGUGACAAAAUGUGAAAAAGUUGCAUGGGUUUAAAUACUUUUGCAAGAGCGUGCAGACAGUCAUAAUGUUAUGGCUGAUCAGUGUUUAACAGGGCAAUAAAUUAAAGCACUUCUUGGCUCUCACUUGGAGCAUGUUUCGUUAUUAACUGAUCAACAGAUCUGCUAUGGUAUGAAUAACUCUCUCUUUCCCUGUUGGUCCCGUAACAAAUGGCAGGGCUCUCGGACACACAUUUGUGUCUCCAUCAGGGCUGUCGUACAAUCAGCUCCAAGAAUACAUAUUAAUCAAUGUCUUUUUUUCCUGUUCUUGUCUGCUUAUUAAGCCCAGCCAUCAACCAACCCCCCUGCUUCCAAUACGUUAGCGGAUAUCAGUAUGUCCACUACUCUUGUGAACAGGGAUGAGAAGGAGAAAAAGAGGGAGAGGAAAUAAAGGUCUGAGGAGUUUGGCAAAGAGACGAUGGAGGCUGAGACAGAUGGCAUGAAGUCUGCAGCACUCUGGCGUGGCUCGCCUGGUGCUAAAAUCCUCCUCUCUCACAUUCCAAUAAAUCCUACCAGGAGGCUGGGGAGUCUGUCACACUACUCCAAGGAUCCACACGGCUCUCCUCCCUCCCUCCCCCAUACAUCAGUGCCCCCCCUCCUCAUCAGUGUCUGAGUCUCUGACCACUCCAGUAUCUGAUUUCUGCUUUUAUUGAACCCACAGAACUGUCUGCAUUCACUUAUAGAAAUGCAUAGAUGUGGAUCUACUGCUAAGAUCAGCAGCAGCAGAUG